GAUGAACGCUGGCGGCGUGCCUAAUACAUGCAAGUCGAGCGAACAGACGAGGAGCUUGCUCCUCUGACGUUAGCGGCGGACGGGUGAGUAACACGUGGAUAACCUACCUAUAAGACUGGGAUAACUUCGGGAAACCGGAGCUAAUACCGGAUAAUAUAUUGAACCGCAUGGUUCAAUAGUGAAAGACGGUUUUGCUGUCACUUAUAGACGGAUCCGCGCCGCAUUAGCUAGUUGGUAUGGUAACGGCUUACCAAGGCAACGAUGCGUAGCCGACCUGAGAGGGUGAUCGGCCACACUGGAACUGAGACACGGUCCAGACUCCUACGGGAGGCAGCAGUAGGGAAUCUUCCGCAAUGGGCGAAAGCCUGACGGAGCAACGCCGCGUGAGUGAUGAAGGUCUUCGGAUCGUAAAACUCUGUUAUUAGGGAAGAACAAAUGUGUAAGUAACUAUGCACGUCUUGACGGUACCUAAUCAGAAAGCCACGGCUAACUACGUG
rnacentral:rRNA from 1 species